AUGGAGGCGUCAGUCUUAAAGCUGCUCCCGCUGGACCCGGGAGAUGAGGGCACCCAGCGGUGCCGGCUUGGACCUGCCGCGCUGUCCUUCCUGGGAGCCAGGAUCGGCGCCCCGCUGAGGAUCUCCGUGCCCGGCGGCUGCUGUGUGUGCACGGCGUGGCCCCGGCACGACCUGGCGGACGGGUACCUGCAGGCCGACCUCACGUGCAGCACGGCGGGGCUGGCGGCGCGGCACCUGCGCGGCCUCUCGCUGAGCCUGGGCCGGCUGCAGCUGCUGCCGUACGGACAGCUGCGAACAGCCGCUGUGAGAGUGGUCCUCAAAAGCGCCGCGCUGAAAAAGUCAACUCCCAGAGGGCUGUUGCAGGAGAUAAUCACAGAACUGCUAAGAAAUGUGUAUGUUUCGCCUCGUUACGUUGUUACUGUUCCCUCAAGUCCCGAAAAUCCCGUGGUGUAUAUUGAAAUACUGUCUACAUCUCCUUUGAAUGAGGGAGCUGGAUUAGUAACUCCCCAGACAAGUAUAAAAAUUAAGGAGGUGAUCCCUUUAGAAUGGUACAGACAUCUUUCAGAAGACACUGCAAAAACUUCAGUUGCAGGACUGGAUGAUGUGGGGAAGUCUUUGAAAGAAAUGAUUGAUCUUCCUUUCCGCUUUCCAAAAACUUUCAAGAAGCUGGGUCUUUCUGUCCCCAAUGGAGUGCUAUUAAUUGGACCCCCAGGUGUAGGGAAAACUCUAACGGUAAAGGCAGUAGCAAAAGAGCUGGGUGCGUAUCUAUUUGGCAUCAGUGGCCCAGCCCUCCAUGGUUCAAGACCAGGAGAAGGUGAAGAGAAUUUGCGGAGAGUCUUUGAAAAAGGCAGAGAGAUGGCAAACGAGGGCCCUACCAUUCUCUUUUUUGAUGAGAUUGAUUCUUUAUGCCCAAAGCGAGGAAGUUCAAACAAUGCUCCUGAAGAUCGUAUUGUUGCUCAGUUGCUGACGCUGCUGGAUGGAGUAGGCAGUGAGGGGAAGAUGGUCAUUGUGGCAGCGACCAACAGGCCUGAUGCCUUAGACCCUGCACUGAGAAGACCUGGCAGAUUUGACAGAGAGGUUAUUAUUGGGACGCCAACAGUAACACAGAGAAGAUCCAUCCUGCAGUUGCUUACAUCUGAUAUGCCCAUUUCUGCAGAGGUUGAUUUGGCUAAGCUGGCAGAAAUGACAACUGGGUAUGUUGGAGCUGACCUUACAGCACUCUGCAGAGAAGCUGCUAUGCAGGCUGUGUCCCACAGCUCUUUGGAUUCAGCUGAAAGGGAAACCAUGAUUAACAUGGGAGAUUUCCAAGAAGCUUUUAAAAAAAUUCAACCGUCCUCUUUUCGAGGUGCAGUUGGACUAACGGAGUGUAAACCUGUGACGUGGGAGCAAAUUGGUGGUCUUGAAGAUGUGAAAUUAAAGUUAAAACAGAGUAUUGAGUGGCCUAUGAAAUUUCCUGAGGCAUUUGCCAGGAUGGGCCUGUCUCAUCCCAAGGGUAUUCUUCUCUAUGGACCAUCUGGGUGUGCCAAAACCACACUGGUGAAGGCUGUGGCCACAAGUUGUCACUGUUCCUUUCUCUCUGUAAGUGGUGCUGACCUGUUCUCACCUUACGUUGGAGAUUCAGAGAAGAUUUUGUCUCAGGUUUUUCGUCAAGCAAGAGCAAAUACUCCAGCAAUAAUAUUUCUAGAUGAGAUUGAUUCUAUCUUGGGAUCUCGGGCACACUGCAGAACUGGCCAUGGUGUCUCAGAGCGGGUUCUUUCUGUUCUUCUCAAUGAAUUGGAUGGAGUUGGGCUGAAAGUUACAGAAAGAAGAGGAGGCAAGCUACAGCUUGAGGCUCAAUGCCAAGAACAAAGUGAUGAGGAAAGAAAGCUAGAGUUUCAGGAAACUUUGAACAAAGAUUUCAUGGUAGUUGCUGCAACAAAUAGACCAGAUAUGUUGGAUGAUGCCUUACUCCGUCCUGGAAGGCUGGACAAGAUGAUCUAUAUUCCACCUCCAGAUCUGAAGGGAAGACUCUCCAUUUUGAAAAUCUGCACCGAAAAAAUUCCAUUAGAUACUGAUGUGUCAUUACAAGAUGUGGCAGCCCUAACAGACCUCUUCUCUGGAGCUGAUCUUGAAAAUCUGUGCAAGGAGGCUGCUUUGUUGGCAUUGCAAGAGAAUGGACUCAAAGCUACUGCUGUAAAACAGGAACAUUUUGUGAAAUUGCUGAAGACUGUAAAACCAUCUUUAAGCAUAAAAGACUUGGAAUUUUAUGAAAAAUUCUCUAAUCAAGAAUUAGCCUCUUGAAUCUAAGAAGGAGUGGCAUAAGUAUUUUUAAAUAUAUUACAAAGAUUUUGAAAAGGCACCUCUCCGAGCUCUGAAGACGCACGUUUGCCUAGCUGCCCUGUUCUUUGGGCAGCUGCCUGGAGAAGGGGACAGAGACGAAGACGGAGGAGAAAUGGAGAAGCCAGGUUUGAGGA